rnacentral:rRNA from 1 species
CACGGGGGGAGCAAGCGUUGUUCGGAAUCACUGGGCGUAAAGGACGUGUAGGCGGUCAGGUAAGUGGGACGUGAAAUGCCUCGGCUCACCCGAGGAGCGGCGUCCCAUACUGCUUGGCUUGAGUACGGGAGAGGAUGUGGGAAUUCCUGGUGUAGCGGUGAAAUGCGUAGAUAUCAGGAGGAACACCGGUGGCGAAGGCGCACAUCUGGCCCGAUACUGACGCUGAGGCGCGAAAGCUAGGGGAGCAAACGGG